CGCGCCCCCUUCCCUUCCCCAUGCUGACCUAAACCCGCGUCUCCCCCGCGACCCUCGCUUCCUCUCCUGCCGCCGCCGCCGCGCCCCCCUUCUCGCCUUCCCCAUGCUCGCAACCACGACCAUGUCGCUACCGACGCCGCGUCCGCCGCUCCCCCGCCUCGAACCAGCCGCCACCAUGGAGCCUCCGCUCUUCCGCCUCAUCCCUCCGCCCAUGCUCUCGCACCUCGCGUGCGGCCGCCGCCUUUUGUCCACAACCCUCCCUUCUCGGUCUGCUCGGCCACCAAGCGGCGGCGGAGCGGGUUGAUAGAGAUGGCGAGGGUGAGUACAUGGCCAGAUGAGGGAGGAAGACAAAUGACGGGUGGAUCGGGUGCUCGAGGAGAGGAGGAAUUCGCCCCUGGGCCCAUGCCGCCGGCCUCCUCGUGCUGCUCGCAUCUCCCUCAUCGUCCCCGUCACCAUCUACCACUCCUCUCCCGUGCCCAGACCGCGGGAAGAAGCCGAGAAGGGAGGCCGGCCGGCGGCGGCCACGCUCGACAAGAUCCUCGCAUUGGCGUCAAGGGAGAGGAGGUCUACGUCCCCCGCCCGUGUGCUUCUUCUCGGGACGCCGAUGCCACGGAGCUCGUCAAGGAGGAUUGGAUUGGAUUGGUUUCUACUUCUAUUCUCUGUUUGAGAACCUGAGAUGCAGCCCUCCAAAUCUUAGGCCCCAGAAGGAGGAUUUGAGAGUGGAGAGCCUGAAUGUGAUUUGGUGGAAGGAGUUGUCCAAGAAUCAAAUUGUUAUUAUUUUACUGUUCUGCAAGAGAGAAUCUAAAGAUUAUUUGUUUCUUUUUAUGCUUGCAAAUCGUGUUUGCUGUUCGGGAUUCACACCCUGCAUUGAUAAGGUCUGAAUUUAACAUCCACUUUUAACACAUUUUGUCUUAGAUAUAAAUGCCUAUGCCUCACGUCAUAGAAAUUUGUAACUGAAUUUCAUGGAUCUGGUUUUGAUAGAUCAUCUAUGAAUGCUUUUGGUAUUACAAUCAAAUGUGAUUGAAUUUUGUAACUAUCUGUUCAAAUGCUCCCAAGAGGGUUAGGUGCUGGAUGAUGCUAUUUAUGAACAUUAUGCUCUCCACUGAGUUUACAGAUUCUAUAAGAGGAGAUAAAGAUCAGUUUGUCUUCUCAUCUUCUUUCUAAAUGGUGUAUAUUCGGUGAAAUAUUAUCUUGGAAGGCCCCGUUGCAAGCUUCUUUCUCCAUUUACCAGCUUUAACUGUCCAUGAGAGGUGAGGUUGAAAUUUGGGUGACGGGUAGCGUUUUGGAAAGCUUCAGAAGAAACGAAGAGAAAUGGAAUGGGAACCGAUAUGGAUUUCUACUAUUUUUUUCAAAGGAUAUGAAUUUAACUUCACAUUUAUUAAGAAUUGCAGCUUAUUUGAGCCUGGAACUCUAACCAGAAAUGUAUCACAUACCGAUAUUCAUGUCUUUAUUUUGUAUUUUUAGGGUCAGUACACCAACUCUGUGUUCGGAAUCAAGGUUUUCAUGCAGCACAUAAUCCUCUGGAUGUCUCAAUCUGCAGUUUAUAUGCUCUAGGGAACACAGUUUUGCUCAACAAAAAUUGGUUGGUUUCAACUAUGUUUGCUUAGCCUUUUCAUUAAAACUACAACCAUAAAAUAUGCUUCAUGCAACAUUGGAAUAGGUUGAUUAUUUAUUUGUUCACUGCAUAGUACCAGCGGCUGCUAACUACAUAUUGUACAGAUUUUGCAGGGAUGUAUAUAUAUGGUGAUGUUUCACUGGGAUCCCCAAAUGUUUCAGUUCGUACUUAGCAGGAUCACCUUGAGCAACGACUCAAUUAAUAUUCUCACUGAUCCAGUUUACUGAAGAACUUGUGACCCAGUUCCAGGACUGCUAUGGACUAAGGUACUCUAGCUGCUUGCAUCUUUCAGAGGAUCUAAUUAGAACCAAUUCAAUGUGUGGUUUAUCUUCUUAGAACUAUUAGUAUUCACUCAAGCAGGAGCUGGCUUCAGUUGGAAUAAGUGUGCUAGAAAGUGUGGCCAAUAGAUUGUACGUCGGCAAAAAAUUGGUCCAUUGUGAACUAAAGGAAUGUUGUAUAGGUUGUUACAAAUCUACAAUAACCAGCUUAGCGAUUCACUAAUGACUUAUGGAAGCACACCCGAUGCCAGAGACCAGAAGAAAUUAUCAUUUUCAGAUUGGUAGUAGUCCCCCCUGAGAUUAUUGUGUGCAUUUCCAAUUGGUAGUGGUCAUUGCUUUUAAGCAGAGUAUUGUUCUGUCGAAAUUGGUGAUCUAAGCUACAAACUAAUUCUCGUGCUCGACAGCGACUCUAAUUUACUUUGGAACCCUGGUUUUUGUGUCUUGAUUUUAGGGAUGGGGUUAUGCCAAUUUAACCAGGUUCUGAACAUUCAGGUAGCUCAGACCAUGGAGGUAAACAUAAAAGGUAUUUGAUUUAUCAUGAUCCAGUUACAGGAAUGCAUGGAUUUUUUUGGCAAGCAUUAUAUAUCGUUGAAGAUUUGCCAUUUUUUCAAGUUCCUUGUAUGCUAAUCGGUAACCUUUAGUUUUGGAUGUACAAUAAGUACCUCCUGCUGAGCAAAGUGUGUGAUAUUCCAGAGUAUCUUUUUCAUGUAUAAUAAGUACUCCCUCUGUAAACUAAUAUAAGAGCGUUUAGAUCACUAAAAUAGUAAUCUAAACACUCUUAUAUUAGUUUACGGAGGGAGUACCUUCCAGCUAAGUGAAGAUGCAUCUUUUUCAGCAUGUGCAAACUAAUUUUUGGUUAUAUCUAUUUCGACGAUGUGUUUGUAUAUCUGACAGAAGUAGCUCUUUUUUGUUUAUGAAUAUGAGCUGGACCAUCCAAAAACACUUCGUUCAAAUGCAGAGAUGUUGGAUGUAGUAUCUGAUUAUCUGUUCUCCAUUUUUGCAUCCUGUAUGCAUCUCACAUUCUUUUUAUUUUUAGUGUGAUAAAAAUAUUCUUUUUUGAACAUGCUAUCACUUUGUCAUAUCAUGGAGAAACUUCUCUCUUUCUCUUAUUUGGAUACAAUGUGUUCCCUAUGGAGAAAACAUGGUGUUUUGGUCUGUUACAUCUUAUUUUUCAGGUGCCCCCAGCUAUCAGGUUUGUAUUGGAUAGAGUAAUACCACCUUAUUUACUGGCAAAGGGUCUGAUUUUACAUGUAAGCCUACAAAAUAUCCUUGGUGAUGCUAAAAUUUAUCUUUUUGUUAGGAUUUUCUCAUUGUAACUGAAAAGUCUGAUCCUUGGUCAUAUCUGUUUAGAGAUUAUUGAUGAGAUAUAUGUUGGACAGUUUCGUGCCUGCUGAUGAAACCUAAUUUAAGUAUCUUGAGGUAUUGAACUACCAUUUGAAUGUUAAUAGCAGGACUGAGGCAGUAUGUUCUAUUUCCUUUUUAGAAGUAAAAUAUCCAAGGACUCUGGAUGAAAAACAAUUACAAUCCUUAUCCACAAAUAUUUUUAUAUCAUGGUAAUUCCAACAUCAUCUGUCACCCUCUGGACUGCAGGGCGAGAUAUCGAUCAAAUAUGAACCUGUCUAUCUGCUCAGACCAGGUGAUUAAUCUCUCCUUGCUAUUUUUCUUGAGGUGUGUGCAUCUAUCUGGACAAUUUAAUGAAAAUAUAUUGCUCAUACAAACCAUCACUACAUGUUAGUUCACUUUAACCCUAAUCAGUCAAAAGGUUAUCCCUUUUGCAUUUCAUGGACAUAAAGGUUUGGUGUUGACUGUCGAUCUUUUGUUAACAUGGGACCUUAAUACCGUAGGGAGUGUUUUUUUAUAUGUUUGGCACAACUGUAUAUUCCUCUGUUCCAGAUCCAGAUCCAGCUCUGUUCGUAGUUCAUGCCUGCUAAGACAUGUUCAAUUCCUUCCGAUAUGCUUUUGAAUAUGUUUUCAGUGAUGCCAUAUAGCUAUAAAUACUUUAUUUGCAUAAGGCCAGUAGGAUAUAUGCUUUAAUGCCCUUAAUUAGUUCUGAAAUGUUUAGCAUGGUCUUUGUCAAUCUGCUUUAUCCCAUUCAAAAAAGCCACAUGGUUGACUCUUGUGCUAUGCCUAGGCUAUCUAGAAACUGUUGAUUUCUGUGUGUGUGGAUACUGUUCUCUUUCUACUUGGCUCUGUUCAUAUCUUCAUGAUAUUGUACCUUCUUUUCAUUGUUAGCUUGCUAAAGGAAUGUUAGAUUCUUGUUGCGUGUCCAUUCCAAGGCCUCCCUCGUUAUUCUUAAUGCACACUGUAUUUGUGCCUUCUACCAGCCCCCUCGGUCUAUCUUUCCAAAAACAUCCUCUUGCUGAAGUAAUGUUUCAGAAGCUCGGCCUCCCCAAACCAGUCUACCAUGUGCGGCUGCUUGAGCAGAGAGGAUAUAGAUCACAGGUUGAAUUACCGUACAAAAGAAUGUUUCCAAGCUUCAGCACGCCGGGUUAGACUGUCAAGCCCCAUAUGUGUGGAUGGGAGGACAUCAAUGAAUUCUGCAGCCGAACGAGCCAUUGAAUAUAUGCAAACCAGUGAGAGCAAGGUGUUUGUUGACUAUAACUACUACCAGCUGCAACAGCAGAAACAGGCACACGAAGGAGUAUCAGGAAGGCUGUUAGAAUAAAUAGAAGAAAUCAACCAGCGCAACCAAACUAUCAAACAGAUAACUAGAGAAGCAUCCAACUAUCUGGAAGAAGUGCAUGAUGCAUCAAACAAAAUUCAUGGUCUUGCUGCCAUUGCCUUGGACCAUGUUUCCUCAGUGUCUCUUUUUGAUUUCAGGCAGGCUAUUCUAGAGAUUCAUGAUGCAGUUGUUGCACUUCAAAACACUACAUCUACUGCACGUGUCUCACUAGAGGAAAAAGGCAUGUACUCAGACGAUGAUGUGGCAGAUCCAGUCUACAGUGGCGUUUCUGGUGAUGAAACUGAUGAAUACUAUCAUCAUGAUGACUAUGGUCACUAUGUGCGAUCCCCAUGAGCAUGUUGUCCAGCCUGCUGAGCUAUCUGGUCAACAUGUGAAGCUCUAUAUGCAUAGCUUCACCACGAAGGCUUGCUUCUUCUUAGCAAGAACCAGUCUGGUUACUAUGUUUAGUCUACUGGUUUAUCUAAAUAAAAUGUGAAGCUCUAUGCUUACAGCUUCACUUUAGGAACUGUCUCCUUUUCAGACUACUCUCUGGUCAUGUAUAAAUAUGGGAUCUAUUGUACUAUCUAAAACCAAUGUAAUUUAUAUAUGUUGCAUCUUCUGAAAUUC